ACCCUUGUGGAGGAGGACGCCGAAGGUGGGGCUAAUGACUGGGGUGAAGUCGUAACAAGGUAGCCGUACCGGAAGGUGCGGCUGGAUCACCUCCUAACAGGGAGACAACAAAAUGUUUAUAUUAUUAUUUUGUCACCUUAGGUCGAUCGGUAUCUCACGUUCUUAAUUUGUUAAGAAUUUCAUUUCCUAAGUUUUUCUAGGUCACACCCAUUAUUUUUCCUGGGCCAUUAGCUCAGGUGGUUAGAGCGCACCCCUGAUAAGGGUGAGGUCCCUGGUUCAAGUCCAGGAUGGCCCAUAUCUCUAUGUUGGGGGUAUAGCUCAGUUGGUAGAGCGCCUGCUUUGCAAGCAGGAUGUCAGCGGUUCGAGUCCGCUUACCUCCACUGAUUACCACCUCUUCCAUAAUCCGUAGAAAGGAAAUGUUUUGAGUUGUGAUCAUUAUUCUGAACGAAUCUAGCUUCCUAAUGAAAUCAUUAAGAUGCUGGACUCAUUGAAUUAAUUUCAUUGUUUUCAGAGAACCUUGACAACUGCAUAGAUUAUUUUUAAAGACAAUAAGCAUCUUUAAUGAUGCAGAUUUAUUAUUUGUGCGAAUGCAUUAAUAACAAUUCUAUUAAGCUGAUGCUUCAAUUUUUGAAGUUAUUGGUCAAGCUACAAAGGGCUCACGGAGGAUACCUAGGCACACAGAGGCGA
rnacentral:misc_RNA from 1 species